CAAAUAGCCCUCCUUCUAUAGCUUUCAACUGAGAAAACAGGGUUUGCGUCAUCAGAGAAUUUUUAUAGCUUAAUUGCGCUAGAACGAGGGGGUUGUGCAUGGGUAAUUAUUUUUCAUUCAUAUGUUUCAUUUUACAGCAUUAAUUCAUUGGCUGAAACUGCGUAUCACACUUGUUAUUAACGUCACAUCAAGUCAUGAUUAUCAACUGUACGUUAAUGGUUGGCCUUGAAUUCCAAUUCGAAGUAGCGUUCCAGUUAUUUCAUUUCAAUGCUAUAGCUCAGUGGAAAAUACUGCCAAAUCUCGGAGCGACAAGGAUUGCGAAUCGGGUGGCACGUGAUUGAAGCGCUGGCGAAUCGGGUGGCACGCAAUGGUGGCACGUGAUAGUGAUGGGCGAUACCAGCUUUUUGGGGUUCGAUACGAUACCAGUCCGAUACCAUGAAUUUUGGCCGAUACCGAUACCAAAAUCGAUACCGAUACUCAAUUUUUUCCAUUUAUUAAAAUAACUUUUAAAACAAGAACAUUAAUGUUAACAAGUCAAAAAAUACUCUAACUGGAGUACCAGCUGCCAAAUAAUCGAACAUAACAUUUGCAAUUAUGAUUUUAAAUCUAAACAAUAUCGACGUGUUCAAUGUUUUCCUAAAUAUAUUGCUAAUUAGCUACAUGUUUUUGUUAAAGAACAGCAUCAUGUCAACAUUUUUUGCCUUCAGUCUGUUGCCUUCAUCAAGUAUUAAGCGAUUGGUCAGGAAUACUGACCAAAAAAUCGCAGGCUCAAGUGGUAUCGAAUUACCGAUACUUUUUUCGAGUAUCGAAAGUACUAGUAUCGAUACUUUUGUAAGUAUCGAUGAUUUCGAUACUUUUUCGAUAGUAUCGCCACAGAUGAGGUAAGUACAGAUGUGAAUCUCCUGUGAAAUUGCUGAUUGUUUUGUGUCACACGGAAUUCUCACUUCCGGCGAGCGCUGGAAAGUGUCGUUCUGAAAUUUAGGGACGGACCAUUAGAAAAGUGAUGGGGGGGGGGGGGGGAAAAAAAAUUUAUUCCCAGACAAAAAUGAAAAAAAAAAUCUUUCAAGGCAUAGUGCAAAAAAAAAAAUUCCUUGCUUAGAAGAUAGGCCAAGUGGUGUACUGGAGGGAGGGCUCAGGGGAGCUGAGCCCCCUUGUUGACUUGGGGGGCUGCACGUUGGUCAAAUUUAGCAAAAUUUCUCCCACUCGUGCGGGUUCGUAUUGACAGCGGACAUCUUACAGAAAGUGGCCAGUUCUUUGAAAAAUGCAAAAGUUUCAAUUUUACACCGCAAGUCCACUGACAAUAUGAGCCUGCGAUCCUGGGAGAAAAUUUGUUGAAUGUGACCAGCGUGCUGAGCCCCCCUAUAUUAUGGCACGUUGCAUAAUUGAUAAUCUUAACAACGUGCGAAAACACACAAAAAAAUACCAGUAAACGAGAAUGUUCUUUAGAAUUGCAUCUCAUUUUCACUCAUCAUUUAACACAAUGAUUUUCGUAAUCUUUAUAUCGCCAUUUUUGUAAUGUUUAUAUCAUUUAGUACCACUAAAUUGUAAAUUUCGACAUACUAAAACGCUGUUUUCUGACCAUCAGAAUUCUGUCAAAUCUUCCCCAAAGUCCAGGAAAUGGCAUUUCAGAGACUCUAAAUUUAAAAAUUUCCUCGGGCCUUCGGCCCUCGCUUCGGCUUGUUUUUAAUAAGAAUAAUGUCAAAUGUUUGUCCCAGAAUUACUAGAAUAAACCCCAACAAAAUUUAGAAUUUCUAAAAUAUCUUAUUGUACCUCCCCUCCCCUCCCGCCAAUUCAGGGCACUUUGGAGAGCCCCCCUUGUUAACAUUCCAGGACUACACCACUAAUAGGCCUAUAAAUUUCACUUAAAGGGCCCUACAGUCAUUUUUUAGUCGAAAGCCACCUUAAGUAGGGGACUCCACGGAGAUUCGUUUGGCUGUAUCUUACAUGCAGUAUCCAUGAGUAUGAGUACUUUCGCACACAGAAAACGCAUGCAUACUGUGGUGCGCAUGUCAAGUAGCGACAAUAACAAAAAAUGUAAACAAUACUUACUUGACUAAAAAAUUACUGUAGGGCCCCUUUAAAAAAAAAAUAUUUCCAACCAUCAAGUGAGAAAAAAAAAAAUAUUUCUUCUAUAGGUGUACAAAAAAAAAAAUAUUGCCUCUUAGAAAAUCCCCCCCCCAUCACUUUUCUAAUGGUCCGUCCCUUAAUAAGGAAAGAGAUAGGAAAACGCCGUUCGAAAGACGAAAAAUUGUUUUUUUAAAAAGUCUACGCUACCGACGGCUAUUUUUGGAAUUAAUUCUUCAAGAGUAACGAUAAGCGAUCACUUUU
rnacentral:lncRNA from 1 species